AUGGCCGCGGCCACGGGCAUGGCUCCCCUCCUCUCCCCCGCCGCCGCCGCCAGUCACUCGCGCAUCCCCUCCGCCCUCGCCACCCCCGCUCCUCCGCCCACCCGCCGCGCACGCCCGCGCCCACGCCGUCUCCUCGUGUCUGCUCCGGCGGCCCACUCGGGCUCCGACGGGGCGCCGCCGUCCACGCUCUCCUCCCCCUCCGGCAACGGAAACAAGGGGGCCGGCGCGCUCACCUUCCAGCAGGCCAUCCAGCGGCUCCAGGAGUACUGGGCCUCCGUCGGAUGCGCCGUCAUGCAGUGCAGCAACACCGAGGUCGGCGCCGGGACGAUGAGCCCCCUCACGUUCCUCCGGGUGCUGGGCCCCGAGCCGUGGAACGUCGCCUAUGUGGAGCCGAGCGUGAGGCCCGACGACAGCCGCUACGGGGACAACCCCAACAGGCUCCAGCGCCACACCCAGUUCCAGGUGAUUCUGAAGCCUGACCCAGGGAACUCGCAGGAUCUCUUCCUGCACAGCCUUUCAGCGUUAGGCAUCAAUGUUCGUGAACACGACAUCCGUUUCGUCGAGGACAACUGGGAGAGCCCUGUUCUUGGAGCCUGGGGGCUGGGCUGGGAGGUUUGGAUGGACGGCAUGGAAAUCACGCAGUUCACAUAUUUUCAGCAGUCUGGAAGCCUCCCCUUGCUGCCAGUUUCUGUCGAAAUAACAUAUGGACUUGAACGUAUCCUCAUGUCACUUCAGGGAGUAGAUCAUUUCAAAAAGAUUCAGUACACCGAAGGAAUUACAUAUGGGGAACUAUUCCUUGAGAAUGAGAAAGAGAUGAGUGCAUACUAUUUAGAGCAUGCAAAUGUUGAUCACAUUCAAAAGCACUUUGAUGAUUUUGAGGAAGAGGCUCGAUCUCUGUUAUCACUUGGGCUGCCAAUUCCCGCGCAUGACCAGGUUCUGAAGGCCUCUCAUGCUUUUAAUAUUCUAGAUUCUAGAGGCUUUGUUGGUGUAACUGAGCGUGCAAGGUAUUUUGGUCGCAUGCGGAGUCUUGCUCGUCAAUGUUCUCAGCUUUGGUUGAAAACACGAGAGGAAAUUGGUUAUCCACUGGGCACUUACCAAGAGGCUAAUCUUGUAUACCCCCAUGUCUCUGAAAAGCUCAGCAGAAAGGAAGUGCUGGGGCAGGCACAGGCGUUUGUUCUUGAAAUAGGAACAGAAGAGUUGCCGCCCCAUGAUGUGGUAGAAGCAACUGAACAACUUGAGAAAUAUCUAGUUCAAAUACUAGGGAAGCGUAGACUGAGCCAUGGGAAGGUGCACUCAUAUGGGACACCACGGAGAUUAGCGGUUGUUGUUGAAAAUCUAAGUCUGAAGCAAAUGGAGGAAGAGGUUGAGUUACGCGGUCCGCCAGUUACAAAGGCAUUUGACCAAGAGGGAAAACCCACUAAGGCUGCUGAGGGGUUUUGUCGGAAAAAUAAUGUUCCCUUAGAUUCCUUAUACAGAAAAGUUGACGGUAAAACAGAGUAUAUAUAUGCCUGUGUCAAAGAGUCUGCACGAUACGCUGAUGAGGUCCUAUCUGAAGAUUUACCUACUAUUAUAUCUGGUAUUUCAUUCCCCAAGUCAAUGCGCUGGAACUCAAAUAUUGUGUUUAGUCGCCCUGUACGCUGGAUCAUGGCACUUCAUGGAGAUCUUGUGGUGCCAUUUUCUUUUGCUGGCAUCUCAAGCGGGAGCCAGUCAUGUGGCCUUCGUAACUCCUCUUUGGCGAAUUUUAAGGUGGAAACCGCAGAAUCAUAUUUGCACACGGUGGAAAAAGCUGGCAUCGUGAUUGAUAUGCAGGAGCGCAAAGCAAAAAUCUUAAGUGACUCUAGUAUACUGGCUAAAGGAGUUGAUGGGGAUUUCAUUGCACCUGAUAGCUUGCUGCAGGAGGUUGUCAAUCUUGUCGAGGCGCCUGUGCCCAUUCUUGGUCGAUAUGAUGAUUCCUUCCUAGAACUUCCGAAAGAUGUAUUAACAACGGUUAUGCAGAAACACCAGAGGUAUUUUCCUGUAACCUCCAAGUCUACAGGCGAUCUGCUACCAUAUUUUAUUACCGUUGCUAAUGGUUCUAUUAGUGAAGAAGUGGUCCGUAAAGGCAAUGAAGCUGUACUCAGGGCAAGGUAUGAGGAUGCUAAGUUCUUUUACAAGAUGGAUACACAAAAGAAUUUGUCUGAAUUCCGAGGCCAGCUGAAGAGCAUUCUCUUUCAUGAAAAACUUGGUACAAUGCUCGACAAAAUGGCGCGUGUUGAAAAUGUUGUUGCAGAGUUGACCUGUGUUCUCGGGAUAAAUGAAGGGAUGAUCUCAGUUGUCAAAGAUGCAGCUGCAUUGGCUAUGUCAGAUCUUUCCACUUCAAUUGUUACGGAAUUUACUUCACUUGCUGGAAUUAUGGCACGCCAUUAUGCUUUAAGGGAUGGUCUUCCAGAAGAGAUUGCAGAAGCACUGUUUGAGAUAACACUUCCAAGGUUCUCUGGCGAUGUUUUACCAAAAACAGAUGUUGGCAUAGUCCUUGCGGUUGCUGAUAGAUUGGACAGCCUAGUGGGUCUGUUUGGAGCUGGAUGUCAGCCAAGUUCUUCGAACGAUCCAUUUGGACUGAGAAGGAUCUCUUAUGGAUUGGUUCAAAUAUUGGUUGAGAAUAAGAAGAACUUUGACCUCACGAAGGCCUUGACCUUGGUGGCACAGGUGCAGCCUAUAAGAAUAGACAAUGACGUUAUAAAUGAGGUAGUGCAAUUUGUAACACGGAGACUGGAACAACUUUUGGUGGAUGAGGGAAUUAACUAUGAAAUAGUUCGGUCGGUGCUUAUGGAGCGUGCGAACUGCCCUUAUCUGGCAUCACAAACGGCAGCUGAAAUGGAAGCAUUUUCAAGAACUGAAGAUUUCCCAAAAAUUGUUGAGGCGUAUUCCAGGCCAGUUCGAAUUAUACGUGGGAAGCAAAUCGAGUCUGCUUGGGAGGUUGACACAAGCGUAUUCGAGAAGGACGAAGAAAAAGCCUUGUGGAGCGCCUAUUUGGAGGCUGUCGACAAGAUCCAUCCUGGUGUUGACGUCAAAACCUUCAUCGAGGCCUCCCUGCUUCUGAUACAGCCUUUGGAAGAUUUCUUCAACAAUGUUUUUGUCAUGGCGGAAGAUGAGAAGAUCCGCAACAACCGGCUGGCACUACUACAAAAGGUUGCGAGUUUGACGAAGGGGAUAGCCGACCUCUCGGUUUUACCAGGGUUUUAG
rnacentral:rRNA from 1 species